rnacentral:rRNA from 2 species
UACGUAGGUGGCAAGCGUUGUCCGGAUUUAUUGGGUUUAAAGGGUGCGUAGGCGGUUUUGUAAGUCAGUGGUGAAAUACUCUAGCUUAACUAGAGGGGUGCCAAUGAUACUGCGAGACUUGAGUACAGAUGAGGUAGGCGGAAUUGACGGUGUAGCGGUGAAAUGCAUAGAUAUCGUCAAGAACACCGAUAGCGAAGGCAGCUUACUGGGCUGUAACUGACGCUGAGGCACGAAAGUGUGGGGAUCAAACAGG